AUUGAACGCUGGCGGCAGGCCUAACACAUGCAAGUCGAGCGGAUGUAGGGAGCUUGCGCCUGGAUUCAGCGGCGGACGGGUGAGUAAUGCCUAGGAAUCUGCCUGGUAGUGGGGGAUAACGUCCGGAAACGGGCGCUAAUACCGCAUACGUCCUGAGGGAGAAAGUGGGGGAUCUUCGGACCUCACGCUAUCAGAUGAGCCUAGGUCGGAUUAGCUAGUUGGUGGGGUAAAGGCCUACCAAGGCGACGAUCCGUAACUGGUCUGAGAGGAUGAUCAGUCACACUGGAACUGAGACACGGUCCAGACUCCUACGGGAGGCAGCAGUGGGGAAUAUUGGACAAUGGGCGAAAGCCUGAUCCAGCCAUGCCGCGUGUGUGAAGAAGGUCUUCGGAUUGUAAAGCACUUUAAGUUGGGAGGAAGGGCAGUAAGUUAAUCCCUUGCUGUUUUGACGUUACCAACAGAAUAAGCACCGGCUAACUUCGUG
rnacentral:rRNA from 1 species